rnacentral:rRNA from 1 species
GCAGUCGAGCGGAAGGCCCUUCGGGGUACUCGAGCGGCGAACGGGUGAGUAACACGUGGGUAACCUGCCUUCAGCUCUGGGAUAAGCCUGGGAAACUGGGUCUAAUACCGGAUACGACACGCGACCGCAUGGUGUGUGUGUGGAAAGUUUUUCGGCUGGAGAUGGACUCGCGGCCUAUCAGCUUGUUGGUGGGGUAGUGGCCUACCAAGGCGAUGACGGGUAGCCGGCCUGAGAGGGCGACCGGCCACACUGGGACUGAGACACGGCCCAGACUCCUACGGGAGGCAGCAGUGGGGAAUAUUGCGCAAUGGGCGAAAGCCUGACGCAGCAACGCCGCGUGAGGGAUGACGGCCUUCGGGUUGUAAACCUCUUUCAGCGCUGACGAAGCCUUCGGGUGACGGUAGGCGCAGAAGAAGCACCGGCUAACUACGUGCCAGCAGCCGCGGUAAUACGUAGGGUGCGAGCGUUGUCCGGAAUUAUUGGGCGUAAAGGGCUCGUAGGCGGUUUGUUGCGUCUGCUGUGAAAGCCCGGGGCUUAACCCCGGGUCUGCAGUGGAUACGGGCAGGCUAGAGUCCGGCAGGGGAGACUGGAAUUCCUGGUGUAGCGGUGGAAUGCGCAGAUAUCAGGAGGAACACCGGUGGCGAAGGCGGGUCUCUGGGCCGGUACUGACGCUGAGGAGCGAAAGCGUGGGGAGCGAACAGGAUUAGAUACCCUGGUAGUCCACGCCGUAAACGUUGGGCGCUAGGUGUGGGUUCCCUUCCACGGGAUCCGUGCCGUAGCUAACGCAUUAAGCGCCCCGCCUGGGGAGUACGGCCGCAAGGCUAAAAACUCAAAUGAUUGACCGGG